GAGAGACACAGGGAGAGCGAGAGAUCCAAUUGCAGGUAUUUAUUCCAAUAAGGGUAAUCCAAAAUCGUUAUCAAACAAGCCAGGGUCAAAACCAAAUAAUCAGUCCGAAACAAAACAAACAAAGGAAACAAAGGAGGGAACUGGAAAAGAAAGGAACGGGAACGCGGAGGACGAGAAGAUUAAGGAGAAACUCAGAAUACGAGAAGACGAAGGGGAAUCUCCGAUGACGAGAAUGCUGCAUACACGAAGGGUAAGGACUCCAUACAAACAACAGGAAAAGACAGGAAUAUAUAGGGAGGCUAAUGACAAUAAAUUGCCUGCACCUGGUGCAAUUAACAGGAGUGCAAUUACUGUGAAGACAGGACCAGACUAGAGGAAUUCUAGUGCCUACGGUGAAGUGUCUAAGGGGAAGUGAUCCCACUAGUGGACACCCAGGGAAACAGAUAAAAUGGUAAAACAGAGACAAGAGGAUCAGGUAGAAUGGGGAAACAGAGACAAGACAACCAGGUAAAAUGGGGAAACAGAGACAAGAGAAGUGCAACACAAAACAAGGAGUCCAGGAGGGUGGUGGACCGGCGGAUGAUCAGGGGGAGGGACGGAGGGCCAGGUCCAUAGGAGGAAACAGAAAGAAAGACACAGACCAAAAAAAAACAACAAAAAAUAAACACAAAAACACAAGUCCAAGAAGGACAUCACGUGACGCCCCCCAGGGCGGAGCAGAAGACCACCACAACCAUGUGGUCAGGGCGGAAACCCCCCCCAGGGCGGAGCAGAAGACCACCACGUCCGUGUGGUCAGGAUGGACGCCCCCCAGGGCGGAGCAGAAGACCACUACAACCGUGUGGUCAGGGCGGAAGCCCCCCAGGGCGGAACAGAAGACCACCACGUCCGUGUGGUCGAACCAGACGCCCCCCAGGGUGGAGCAGACGACCACCACUCCCUUGUGGUCGAGGCAGAAAGCCCCCAGGGCGGAGCAGAAGACCACCACAUCCGUGCGGCCGGACCAACAGGAGGACAAGUCUGGUUGGACAAGUCUGAAACAUAGAACAUGAACAUGUUAAGGGUAGUCUCCGUGGCCACAACAGGAACAGUCGGGUGCUCAGAGAGAUCUACUGAGACAUGACGAGUCUCUUGAAGUUCCGCAGAGGCGAGGAGAGACUCUGGUAGUUCAGCAGAGACGUGGAACGGUUCUGGUAGUUCAUCAGAGACGUGGAGAGGCUCUGGUAGUUCCACAGAGGAGUGACGAGACUCUGGUAAUCCCAUGGUGUUUAUACUGGAUUCCAGAAGAUCGAUGCUGACUUGUCUCUGCUCAUGAAGAUCAUUGGUGACUUGCAUUUGUUCAUGAAGAUCAGUGGUGACUUGCC
ensembl:lncRNA